GCGUGAGUGUGUGUGCGCGUGAGUGUGUGUGUGAGUGUGCGCGCGUGUGAGUGUGUGUGCGAGCGCGUGAGUGUGUGCGCGCGUGAGUGUGCGCGCGCGUGUGUGCGAGUCACGGGUGUCCGUGUGUGUGUGUGAGGCGCCAGCCACCCUCCCGUCCCUACACGUUGAUCUUAUUCGAUCGGCCGGGCCCCGCCGGGCCGAGGUGAGAAGAAAGCGCCGCGAAGCCCUCGGGCGCUGUGCGGCUGGGCCGGGCGGGAUGAGUCGAUCAGAUAGGCGAGGCCACGGCCGCUGAGCGCCCUGCGAUUCUGACCCGC